rnacentral:sRNA from 1 species
UGAAACUAAUCCAUUCUAGGCUAUAUUGC